UGGAAUGUACAAGUCUGGUGCAUUGAUAUCAUAAAUUGGUGGCUUAUAAGAUAGUCUGCCUCCAAUUGGAUCAGUUAUUCUUGUCCAAUGGCCCCUGUGAAGAAAUGGAAAUAGGACAACCUUCAAUUUAUUUCUAACAUACUGGUCGUUCACUUGGAAGUAGUAUUGGGGAUCAGAAAAGUACCUACUUAUAUUGCUUUGAACA
rnacentral:misc_RNA from 1 species